ensembl:lncRNA
AUGGAGAAGCUGACGGGGGUACACAGCUGGCUAACCUCACGGUAUCUCGGAAAUGGUGCAUGUCCACAAGAACAAAUAGUCACAGUCUGCGGCCGUGACAGGUCCUCUGAAGAAUCUGGCACUGAAGAGUCCAUUUCCGUCAGCGUUUCUCCAUCGAUCCCGCCCUGCGGCCCUUGGGGUCUCUGGGGACGCUGCCCUGGGGCUGUGGACGCCAGCCCUCGGGCACAGCACAGGGGGUGGCUCCACCCGGCGCCCCCUGAGUGCCUCCUGCCCUUCUCUCAGGAUGUCAAACCCACGGUUCCACGUGGCCUCUUGGUGGAGGAUGCUGUUGGGAAAAAGCCCUUCCUUCCCUCUGAGAUGUGGGGUGGGUGCAAACGAGGGCUGAGCGUUCACCCCCGCGGCUGUGGCUCUGGCCUCUCACCUCUUCCUCUGAGGUGUGGACCCCACACACGAGGGUGUUGGCUUCCUGAUGGCCUGGGUUCUCUCCUAAGACGCUCUUGGGGUCCCAGCUGGGUCACCCGCACAUGUAAUGAUGAAUACCUGUGAUGAAGCAGGAGGACGUUGGAUGUGAUAGGACGGUCUGAGAACGUGAAGGCUGAACAUCGGGGGAGCUUUUCCCACGCGCUGGACCCUGGACUUCACACUGAAAACACUACUUCGUGUUGUGCUGUGACGUGGGCAUGAUCACCUCCAUUCUGGAGAUGAGGAAAUGUAGGUGGAGGAACGUCAAACUACUUGGGUAGGAAAGUAAAAUGAAGAGCCAGUCUGAGCAGCUGAGGCCACUGACUCUCCGGCCUGUGAGCUGAAGCCUCGACCGUGUGGCAGGAGAGUUUGCUCAGACGGGGCUGUGUUCACCAGCAGCUCACCGCUCACCAGCGCAGUGCUCCAGUUCUGUGCAUUCGGUUGUGUGGAUUCAUUCCGCAAUUUCACGUGCCUCGUGGCGGAGGGCAUUCAGAAGGGCACAUGCAUUUUAAUCAGGUUUUUUGCUGGAAGCCAGUAUUUUUUAGCUUGAUUUACAUUCCAGAAUUUUCAGUCCUGUUGGGGAGACAGGCUUACAAAUACGGCUGCUCUAAGGAACAGUAAAAGAUUAUAUAUGUAGUUGUGCUGUGAGGUGUCUGCCCACCACAGGGGAGGCAGUAGAGCCGAGAGUAAGGAGAUGGCCCCUGCUGUAGCUGCUAAGCUUUAAAAGGUAGCAGAGAAAUGAUUUGACAUAGGAGGGGAGGUGGGUGUCAUCUUCAAGGAGUUCAUACACAGUGUUCACUCAGAUGGAUUCCAGAUGCAGCAUCUGUGUUUUGAGCAAAAUUUCCACACGGGUGUCUAAUCAUUGCAUUCAGCAAAAACCAUUUUUUUUUUUUUUGGCAAAGUUUUGAACAAAUCUAUGCAUAAAACCCUACUUGGUAGCUCCAGGAAAUGUGUGGGAGUUUUGCUCAAAGGACAAGCCAUGGUUUUAGCUGUUCUGACCUCCUGGGACAGUUGAUGGUUCCAUGGUCAAGACAUGAUUAUUCCAUGUGGCCAAAGAAAACAGAACUUCAGACUCACCUUUAAGUUGUCUAAACGUGAAACUUGGCUGGAAAGAAUCAUGCUAGUUAAGGUCCAACCCAUGUCAUUUUGAGAAACAUCUGGCAAACCCAAAUGGGGUUCUUUCUGUCAAAAAAUCAAGUGCCCACGGCUCUUCAAGUCUCAAAGGAGACACAGAGCGGCCCUGAGGAAAUCACCCUGGUAUUCUCUUCCACCUGCUGUGUUCACUCAGCUUUGCUUCCCGAUUCAUCUACACGGGCACCUGGAGCCCUGUUCCCAUCCUUUCCCGCUGCUGGCCUGUUGGGUGGAUGGUCACGUUUGUUUCCUGCCUCCCUCUGCAUCGAUGCUGGGUUCUUCCUCUCUUUCUGAAUACCAGUGGGGAUCUCUGUUUAUUCUGACUGUCCCCUGGUGUACCUUUGGGUGACAUUCUCGAGCAUGUAUGGCUGCAAGUGUAAUUGCUGGCUCUUAAGUAGGCAGAUAAUAAAAUUUUAAAGUGAUGUCA